GCACACGCAUGCCCGCAUGCACACACAGUAAUGAUGAUGAUGAUGAUAGUAAUAAUAAUAAUAAAUUUUAAGCAAUUCACAUUUCAGAGUGAAGUGUUACCUGCCUUUGCAGUGUGUGUGAAGGGAGCUACCCAAAAUCAGUUCAGCCCUCAAUGCAACAUCUGAUGUGGACUGUGAACCAGGUAUAAAGACUGGAAGCUGAAAACUCAAAAAGGGACGAUUUCUCCUUAGAGUGUUGCUUCUAUACCAUGGAAGUGCUAGCCAGUGGUGCUCUACCACCAGAGUGGCUUCAAGGAGAUGACUGGAGAGUGUGACGUGCCUUUCCUGAGCCAUUCACUAUGGUAGAACAUAAAGGUGCCUUCUGAAGGAUUUCUGCCAACAGGGUGGAUUGCUGAUCCCUCAGAGGACCUGCUGGGAACAGGAAUCAGAGUGGUGAGGAUCACAAAAGUCCAGUUUUGGAUGGUCUAUCAUCCUCAGAGCACCAUCUUGGUGGGGUAAAGGAGGGCUUAAUGGUACAAAGAGCUUCUACAGAGGCAGUAAGGGUGCUCAAAGCAGAAAGACUGUGUGGUGUGCAGGAUCUUCCCCUUCCAGGACAUUCUUCUCUGACUAGAGUGCCAGAGUUGGCUUUCUGGGACUAGUUCCUGUCAUAGACUUAAAGACUAAGGAAGCAUAUUCCAAAUCUCUCUGGGUAGUCUAAGUUGUGGAAAUCUAAAGCUAACACCAUAAGCACCUUAGCUGUGACUUCUGGCAAAAUUUAAAGUUCUGGGUAAAAGGACAUGAAUGCCUACAAAAGGACCAGGAAGGAAUGACAACCAUGCAGAAGGGUGGAAAAAAAGCAAGGGGACAGUAACCCUGCUAAAGGACCGUGACAUAGGCAGUCACUACCCUUCCCUAAGAGUCCUGCUAUACAGGACAGCCUAUGAAUGAGGGUCCAAAGAUUCCAGGCCUAUGCCCAUAGGAAAAAAUCCUGUCUUGGGAUAUCCCAUCAGAUUCCAAAGCCAAGCUAGGCAACACCAGUUCAGGAAGACGUCUGUGUGCCCAUCUAUCCCCAAAGCCUGGGCUGCCUUCCUAGAGGGAUCAGGAAGAAUGAGAGAAGAUGGAGAGUCACAUCCUGUCGCUGGCUUCCAGGGCCACUGGGGAGAAGCCUGGCAUUGAAUUUUAAGAAUUGCAGAGGAGUGGGCGUGCCAUAUUAAACAUCCCACUAUUUUGAUACUAGCAGCAAGCAAAGGACUUUUCAUUUCCUGAAAGCGACAGGAAAUUGAAGAACCUGCCAGAGAUAUGAUCUUUGUGUGGGCAAAAGGGGUUGAUAAAGCCAGACCUGAGAGAGGAAAAAAAAACUGAAAACCAAAAACAAAACAAAAGCUAUCCCAAGCUCCCACCCUAUCAAGUUCCACUCUGUCACUAUCACAGGUAUUUCUGUCCAUGGCUCUUUCUUCUCCAGAGAGAAGGAAAACCUGGGGAAGCAUGGAGGAUCACUGGCCCAACGACAGGCUAACAAUGGUUUGAUAGAUGAGCAGUUUUACAGGUGAGCAUCAGAAGCUGCUGAGAAAGCAAAGACGAAGGUUCAGGGAAAGACAUGAGGAGAGGAGGGAUCAGCAGUGGGAGCUAUUCCUCCUGGGGAGGCUCGGGAGAGACCAGCUGUUCUAUACACUCAGUAAGAAAGGACCAGGAAGAGGAGAAGAAAGGGUACCCAGAGUAGGUCUGGUGCAGCAGAAGUUUCCCAGCACAAUAAGAUGAGCAGGGGCUGGGAAAACACUGUCCAAUCAUGAGGACCCAAGUUCAUGCCCUAUCACCCAAAACAGGAUGCUCAAAAAUGCCUAUUACUCCAGCUCAAAGGAGCCAACACUUUCUUCUGGCAUAUCAUGUAGCUUUAGUCCCGGCAUGUUGGGUGACAGAGACGGGAGUAUGUCACAGGCCAGCUACAUGAUGAGGACCCAGGGUCAUGAGAGAUGCUGCCUCAAACAAAAGGUUGAAGACCCUGCCUUGGAGAGCUGCUGCUAGUACUGGAAGCUAUGGUCAGACAUGGCAUGUGUCCACUCAGUAAGGACAUCCUGAGAUUGGAUGUAAACUGACUCUGUAAACACGGGUCUGGGGAACCAGCGUUCAUCACUACUCCCUGAAACGGCUGUGAAAUGACGGCAAUCAUGUCCUGGUCAUCACACACCCUCCAUGUAGGGAUACUCUUUCCUUUCAAACUUUGUGUUGAUUUGCUUUCCAUCACUGUAGGAAAACACCAGAGAAAACGGGCUUAGAAAUAUUAAAGGUUUGUUUUGACCCACCAUUGCAGAACUUCCAGUCCCACAAUGGGUUGGUCACACAAUGGCUUGGGGCCUGUGGGGAGACUUAGAACAGAAGAAAACUUCUCCAUGUGUGGAGGCAAACAGUAAGGAAGGGACUAGAGCGCCACAAGAGGGGUCUCUCACUAGGCCCUUAAUGGACCCAUUGCCUCUCAGGAAUAAGAGUUGGGGAGCAAGCCUUCAGCACAUGCUCCUCUGAGGAACAGUCGGGAACCAAACUAGGACAAAUCUCGGUUUUUGUAUCAGCGUAGAAGUGAAUUUGUUACCCACAGAAUUCCUUUCUCUGUGAUGCAAUAAUAGCUCUCGUAACCUGUCCUCAUUCUGCUCCUAAUCCCCCCCCCCAGCAAAAGGGCACAGAGAAGGGAGUGUGAGCUACAAGACUUGAGCAUCUUAUGAACCACUGACAGCAUUUCUGUCCUGUGUCCCAGGAACUAAUGUGGAGUCCAACCUGCUCCCACUGUUCUCAGGCUGCAUCCCCAGCUCACGUGCACUGAGCAUCAGCUGAGGGCUAGGCACCACGGCAGGGGGACCCAUGCACCUCUCCUCGUGGUUGAAGGACAUUGUCACUGAACUGACAGACCUUCCUCUGCCUUUGCCCAUCUCAGAGGGUGCCUGCUUCCCCCUCGAUUCUUCCCCAUGCCCCGCCUUCCUGAAGAACCAGUUAUCAGUGGGGCUGACAGGGCCUUGAAGUAAAGGUUUGGGGACAGAGUGCAGGACAGUCGUCUCGUGGUUUUAUAAAGAGGUAUACACCCUCAGCUGAGGCUGGGACAGAAACAGGGAGUGUGGGGAUAAUGAGGAACUGUGAUCGCUCUAACCAACUUCACACGAGAGGCCGGUACCACUGAAACUGUGUAUCUGCUGCCUUGACUGUGGUGGGUACCACUGAAACUGUGUAUCUGCUGCCUUGACUGUGGUGGGUACCACUGAAACUGUGUAUCUGCUGCCGUGACUGUGGUGGGUACCACUGAAACUGUGUAUCUGCUGCCUUGACUGUGGUGGGUACCACUGAAACUGUGUAUCUGCUGCCGUGACUGUGGUGGGUACCACUGAAACUGUGUAUCUGCUGCCUUGACUGUGGUGGGUACCACUGAAGCUGUGCAUCUGCUGCCUUGACUGUGGCAUUCCUUUCAACCGAAGACACCGCUGCCUUCAGCUUCCAUUUUCCCCUGCAGACAGUUGGCUGAUCCCCAUGGUCAGUGUUGGCCAGACCACAUCUACAGCAGGGACUGGAUGCUCCUUGACUCAGAUCUAGUUUCCGGCCAGAACAAUUUGAGGCCCAAUGGAGAUCUCAGAGUCCCCACUGAACUUCCUUCAGCCUGCACCUGCUUUUAAGUGGUCAAGUUCUGUAAUCCAGUCAGCAGAUUUGACCCAAGCUUGGCUCUGUUCCUUUUGAGGUUGUAUAACCCCGAUAGGAAACGUUAACUCUACACCAUGAAACCUCCUAAACUUGACUCUCAGAAGAACGCAUUCACGGGAGAAUAUAUGAUUCCCUAAACAUGGAGGACUCGAGUGGGAAAAUGGUGGCUACCCACAGACCACAAACCCAAAUAGUUGAGAAGAAAAAAUGAAGGCACUCCCCCGAAUAAGUGAAAUGCAUCCUACCCUCUUCUUUUUAAGACUGUGUUUCAGGGUUAGGAUGAUGGCUUGGCGGAUAAAGCACUUGCCAUAUUACCAUAGGUAUCUGAGCUCAGUUCCCAGACCCAAGUAUAAAAAGCCAAGCUGGGUUUGGCAGCACAUACUUGCAGCCCCAGAAGUAGGGCAGCUAUGGUGGACGGAUCCCCAGAUCUCACUGGUCAGUCAGCCUAACCUAGGUGUCUAGGCCUGGGACAUCACCAAUCUGCUUCUUUGGGAUGAUGGAUGGAUGGAUUUUAUUAGGAAGAUGAAACACACACACCGGCCUCCCCCGAAGCUGCCUGAAGCUUGGGACUGGGUGGAGGUGGAGAGAAGAGCCUGUCACAAGUUUGUCCUGAAUACUCAGAAAUAACAGAGUAAUCUGGACCCAUCCCAGGAAGCAUCUGAUGGUUCAGUGUUCUGGAGUCAAGGGAAUAAAGAUGUAAACAAAA